CUGUAAGAAAGCCCCCACUUAAAUGCCUUCUUUUAUAAGUUUCUUUGGUCAUGGUGUACCUUCAUAGCAAUAGGACAUUAACUAAGACAAGAAAUGACUGCCUUUAAUCAAUUUUUAAGCCCUGACUGUCCUGGACCUCACUCUGUAGAGCAGGCUAGUCUUGAACUCACAGAGAUCACCUACCCUUGUCUCCUGGCCCUGGAAGUCGUGUUGGGAAAUCCCCACGCGCUUUCUGUUAGUCCCUGUGUUUGUUUCCUUUUAAACCGAGCUUGUGCGGACUUGAUAUUGAUUCUUUGAGAAAAUACUUGAUGGUAUUUAGUGAAGAGGCCACCUGGGCCUGCAUCUGUGGGGAGGUUACAGGCUGUCCGUCAGUCUGUGUUCCUGUUUCUGGGACUUGUCAGCUUCUCUGUUCUUGAGUCAGCACAAAUGAUUGAGCCUGUCUUGUGGUUUGUUCCUGUCAUCUAAGUCAUUGAUUUGCCUGUGAGCAAGUCAGGGCGCAUCCUCAUAACCACUGCGCUCUCUAUAAUUCCAGAUCGAAUGUUUAUCCAUUUAGUGUGGAGGUGGGUGUGGGUGGGUGUGGGUGCAUGCAGGUACCAAAGCAUGAAUGUGGAGGUCGGAAGACAACUUUCAAUAGUUUGGUUCUCUCUUUCCACCAUGUGAGACCUGGGAUCAAAUCCAGGUAUUCAGGCUUGGAAGCAAACCUCUUUACCUAGGAAUGCCAUCUUGCUAGCCCCAACACCCUUCUCCACUAAGCACACAUGAACAUCGGACAAGUUUCUCAGAGGGUUGGAGGCCAACCUGGCCUCCAACCAGUGUCAUCAGGCUUGUGUUGGUUAAAGUGCUUUCACCAGGAACCGGCUGUAGACCAGGCUGGCCUCAAACUCAGAAAUCUGCCUACCUCUCUCCCGCACGUGCUGGGAUUAAAGGCGUGCGCCACCACUACCCAGUUCUUCUUUCUCUCUCUCUCUCUCUCUCUCUCUCUCUCUCUCUCUCUCUCUCUCUCCCUUCCUUCCUUCCUUCCUUCCUUUCUUUCUUCUUUUCUUCCUUCCUUCCUUCCUUUCUUUUCUGACACAGUGUUUCUCUGUGUGUACUUGGCUUUCCUAGAACGCAAUCCAUAACUCAGCUGGCCUUGAACUCAGAAAUCUGCCUGAAUCUGCAUCCAAGAUCUGGGAUUAAAGGAAUGUGCCGCCAUGCCUGGCUCUAACUUUUUUU
rnacentral:lncRNA from 1 species